rnacentral:lncRNA from 1 species
AACAAAGGAGACCUUGGGCAACAGGAUCAGAGCAGUCCCCAUAGCCUACAAAGCUUCUGGAGCAGGACUCCACAUCUGCUCCCCUGGCCAGGAUCCAGACUCAGUGCAAGCCAGACAAAGAUUUCAAUUACUGAAGGAGCAGCUGUUGCUCCAGAAGACAGGGGUGAAGCCAAUCCCUUCUCCACAUGCUACUCAAACUGCACAAAAAGCUGGCCAGCGGGCCAGAGCACAGCUGUAUGGUGUAACUUAGCUUUUCAAGGAAAGGACACCAGUUUAAUUAAGGUCUGUGCUUGCAACAGAGGGCUGAACAGUGCCCAGUUCUCCUCUUCUCUGGAUCAACAGCAGCAGCACGAGCUUCUCAUGUGUGCACGUACCUCGCCUCUAGCAGGGACUGGUCUCCGUUUCACUGCAUCCCCUUCUGGCUCUGCUAACACUAUUCUCAGUUCCUCCUGCCCUGUGUGGACAAGGACACUUUCAUUUACAUGAGACUCGGUGGAUGUCCCUGUGGGCUCAGCCACAACUUUCUCACCCUUGUUAAAUAUCAUGCUGGUUUGGAGAUUCUCUCUGCUCCUCAGUGGCAGGUGUCUUGUGAUACUGAUCAGCCUUGUGAUACUGAUACAGCCUGGCCCUCAGAACAUGAGUGCUGAAUGGAAACAUGUGGCCCUUCACAGCUGGUGAAGUAUAAAUGUUGGCUGAACACUGAUCAGUGACAUGUAGGAGGAGGAGGGUUGGCCUUCAUCCUGCAUGGUGGAGAACAACGGAGCUUUGCAAUGGGGCUAUGAACCAUAUCCUUCACAUGGUUCUCUAUGUGUUGUACUGCAUCUUCUAAAGAAAAAAACAGAAAGGUAGAAAAUCAAAUGAUAAUUGAUCAUUAACAUGAUAAGUAAUAAACUGCUUACUGUUCCAAUAUAUGUUGAGAGA